CCUACGGGUGGCAGCAGUGGGGAAUAUUGGACAAUGGGGGGAACCCUGAUCCAGCCAUGCCGCGUGUGUUAAGAAGGCCCUCGGGUUGUAAAGCACUUUCAGUGAGGAAGAACGCCUGGUGGUUAAUACCCAUCAGGAAAGACAUCACUCACAGAAGAAGCACCGGCUACUCCGUGCCAGCAGCCGCGGUAAUACGGAGGGUGCGAGCGUUAAUCGGAAUUACUGGGCGUAAAGCGCGCGUAGGUGGCUUGAUAAGCCGGUUGUGAAAGCCCCGGGCUCAACCUGGGAACGGCAUCCGGAACUGUCAAGCUAGAGUGCAGGAGAGGAAGGUAGAAUUCCCGGUGUAGCGGUGAAAUGCGUAGAGAUCGGGAGGAAUACCAGUGGCGAAGGCGGCCUUCUGGACUGACACUGACACUGAGGUGCGAAAGCGUGGGUAGCAAACAGGAUUAGAUACCCUAGUAGUC
rnacentral:rRNA from 1 species